GGAUAACAGAGCAGUUAAUACAUUUAUUCGGUUGGAUAACAAAGCACUUAAUACGUUUAUUAGGUUGGAUAACAAAGCAGUUAAUAUGUUUAUUAUGUUGGAUAACAGAGCAGUUAAUACAUUUAUUAGGUUGGAUAACAAAGCAGUUAAUACGUUUAUUAGGUUGGAUAACAGAGCAGUUAAUACAUUUAUUAGGUUGGAUAACAAAGCAGUUAAUACAUUUAUAAGGUUGGAUAACAGAGCAGUUAAUACGUUUAUAAGGUUGGAUAACAGAGCAGUUAAUACGUUUAUUAGGUUGGAUAACAAAGCAGUUAAUACAUUUAUAUGGUUGGAUAACAAAGCAGUUAAUACAUUUAUUAGGUUGGAUAACAAAGCAGUUAAUACACUUAUAAGGUUGGAUAACAGAGCAGUUAAUAUGUUUAUUAGGUUGGAUAACAGAGCAGUUAAUAUAUUUAUUAGGUUGGAUAACAAAGCAGUUAAUACAUUUAUACGGUUGGAUAACAGAGCAGUUAAUACAUUUAUUAGGUUAGAUAACAAAGCAGUUAAUACGUUUAUAAGGUUGGAUAACAGAGCAGUUAAUACGUUUAUUAGGUUGGAUAACAGAGCAGUUAAUAUAUUUAUUAAGUUGGAUAACAAAGCAGUUAAUACAUUUAUACGGUUGGAUAACAGAGCAGUUAA